UUGUUGGCACUACUGAAGCUGCUCUCGCAAAACUGAAAUAGCAAUACGUAUUUUUUGCAGCAAAACAAUAAACUUGAUACUUAGAGCAAAAGAACAUGUAUAUACAGAGGAAAUACAUCCAGGAUGUUCAUGUUAAUUUUGCAUAGAAUCACAUAAUGAGAGCCAAAUGUUGGAAAAAACCUUCAGACUAGAAAUAUGAACAACCCUUAGUAGAGAUGUAUUACGAAAUGGAGAACAGUAACAUUACAUGGAAUGCAGCUUUCAAUCUGUAGGUUGUUCCCCCGAGGAAGAUACCUUUCACAGCCUUAGCUCUUCACAAGUGCUCUCUCAUAUUGUGGUUAAUUGCUCUGGCUUCUUGCAACUGAUCCUCAGAUGAGUCCUUUCUCCACCAGCUUCUGCUACAUCAGCUGAAACCCAAGUCAGUGACUAUGCCAAGACAGAGGUGGCAUUUAUACAAGGAGUACUAACAGACGAGGGUAAUUUACUGGGCACUGAGAUCUGCUGGCAUGGCACGACUGAUGUCCAAACCUCCAAUCUCAACCUUCAGUCCAGAGGGCUGCAUACAAGCUGUGCGUUGGGAAUGUUCCCUGGAGCACACUGACUGGUAAACCAUGCCUAAAUCCAUGGAAACUGAUAGCUUAAAACUGAAUAAAUUUCUUAAUGAUAAUGUGUAGUGGGCUGACCCUGGCCAGAUGCCAGGUACCCACUAAAGCCGCUUUCUCCCUCUCCCUCUGCAAAUAGAUAGAGGAGAGGAAAAAAAACAGCUAAGAAUUCAUGAGUUGAGCUAACAGCUGGGAGAAGUCACUUAGUGAUUACCUUCAUGGGCAAAACAGACUCAAAGUGGGGAUAUUACUUAAAUUUAUUACUAACAGGAUAAGAGCCAAAGAAUGAGAAAUAAAACAAUCUAAAAAACACCUUCCCCCCACCCUCCUUCCUUCCAUGUUCUCCUUCCUCCCCCCCAGCGGUGCAGGGGGAUGGGGAAUGGGAGUUAUGGUCAGUUGUUAUUUCUGCUGCUGCUCGGGGAGAAGAGUCCUUCCCUGCUCCUGUGGGGUCCUUUCCACAGGAGACAGUCCUUGAUGGACCUCUCUGGUGUGACUCCAUCCCCCGGGCAACAGUUCUUCCCAACUUGCUGUCCCGUGGGUCACUCCUCCAUGGGGUGCAGUCCUUCACAGAUGAGCUGUACUGGUGUGGGUCCCCCACAGGGGCCACAAGUCCUACCCGGGAAAAACCUGCUCCAGCGCGGACUUCCCUCUGCACGGGCCGCAGGUCUCCAGCAGGACCCUGCUCCAUCCUGGGCCUCCCACAGGGUCACAGCCUCCUUCGUGCAUCCACCUGCUCUGGCAUAGGCUUUUCUAUGGGUUGCAGGUGGGUCUCUGCACCCCGAUGGUCCUCCAUGGGCUGCAGGGGCACAGCUGCUCCACCAUGGGCUGCACCACGGGCUGCAGGGGCCUCAGCUCCGGUGCCUGGAGCACCUCCUGUCCCUCCUUCUGUGCUGACCUUGGUGUCUACAUUGUUAUUCCCAUGUUCUUACUCCGCUCUUCCCUGGCUGGAAUUCUUUCUGUGCCACAACCUUCUGUUCUUAAAUAUGUUAUCACAGAGGUGUUACUAUCACUCCUGAUUGGCUUGGCUUUGGCCAGCGACAGGAAGUCCGUUCUGGAGCCGGCUGGCAUUGGCUCCGCGGGACAGGGGAAGCUGCUAGAAGCUUUCAGCAGAAGCCACUCCUGUAGCCCCCCCGCUACCAAAACCCAGCCACAGAAACGCACUACAUAAUGAUAAUUUACUGAAGGGUUUGAGUGAUUUUAAUUAAGGACAUUAUAUUGUUGUUCCGAUAAAUAAACCUUUGAUAUUAUGCUGGAUUGAGGAAGAUAAAUUUUCUCCAGAUUUCAUGAUCUAUCUUGACAUUGUCUUUCUGAUAAGAACGUGAAGUUGAAACACUAGCAUUUAAAUUAAAAAUUGCUGCUCCUGAGUUGUACUAGUAUAUGAAAUAAAGAUUCAUUUCACAUGUAGCUGCAAGCAAGCUGUGCUUUCUGCUAUUACUGUGAUUAUAUUAUGAUGGACAUUAGGACUGGAAGGGAUGUUGAGAGGUUUUCUUGUUCUUCCUCUGACCAACAAGGGGAAACAAUGGCAAAGUAUUUCCAGUGAUGGAGAGUUUCUGAUCUCCCCAAGUACAUAUUCCAGCACUUAACAGUUUCCACCGGAAAAUAUUUUCCUAAAUUUCUUUUGCUUCACUUUAAAUCCUCUGUGAUACAAAGAAAAAAAUAAAUCUAAGUAGUCUUUCACACCUAAUCUGCUCAUUUUAAUUGUUUUUUUACUCAUGUAUAGUACAUGAGAAUGUUUAUGCAGUCAACCGUUCCUACAUAAGGCUAUUGAGCUGUUAUUUAUUUCAGACAAUUUCUGUAAUUGUUUUAAUUCUUCGAAAUUCUCCUCACUCAGGAGAGAAUGCUUGCAAAUGUAAUAAGUAAACCCACUAUUCUCUCCCAAGGCAGACAUGACUGUGACAUGGAGCUACCCUUAGUAUAGACCCUUUAGAGACUCUUUCAACACACCCUUCUACUUAUGCAAUGAUAAAAAAAAUUUUGACUUAUAUUUGAGUGCAAUUUUGAAAUCACUGAGUGUGUACUUUAGGCUAGUUUCUUCUAGAGCAUGUUUUUGUAAUUUGAAUAGUCAGUCAUGCCACAACUCUCAUGUUGCAUAUUCAAAGCCCUUUGUUACUAAAGCUGAGGGUGGGAUCAGGAUGUGCAGGACAGUAACUAUCACUGGGAAAACUUCACAGCACUUGGAAUGAGAUGGAACUGCAAUGUUGAAUAUUGUUUCUCAACCUCACAUCUGAAGAUGGCCGAUUUUAUCCUGAUCUGAGUGUUGGAUGGCUGGAUGUAUGAUACAGGAAAGCAGGUUUCUCAGAGGAGAGGAAGCCUUCCUGAAGAGACAUGGGACGUGGAAAAGGGAAGAAAUUGAGGGAAGAGAACACUUGAGAAGUUAGGAUCGCUGGUGAUGGCAAAAAGGCACAAAAAAAGAGUUAACAGUGUUUCAGCUGGUAUACCUUGUCCUGUUUGCUCUACCUGUUUUGCUAGAAAAACAUUUUAGGAACACUGGUUAAUAUCAUGUUCUGUUCUGCUCACUGGACCAAAGUCCUUAUUAUAGAAAGAAUAGGAGUAGUAUACACAAGGUAAUAAAUUAGGUAAACUAGACUUUUGAAUGAGAUAUAGAAGGCCCAGAGCCAGGAUUUUGCAAGCUUGAAGAAUUCAGGUCACCUAAUUUGAAGAGGUCAAAUAGAGGAAGACGUCCGUGGUGACCACCAGAGGGAUGAAGGCUUGAAGAGAAGACCCCCCCAGAAGAAGACUGCACAUGUCUGUAAAGACUCCACCCAGAGACUAGCCUACUUUUUAAUAUGUAUGUUAGAUGAUGUAACCAUUCAUCUAAAGUGUAUAAAAUGGCUUGAUUUUGCACUUUCAAGUUGAGCAAGUUUGUCCAGCACAAGCUGGCUUGCUCCCAACAUUGAAUAAACAAAUACCUUGCUGCUUAAA